UACGUAGGGGGCAAGCGUUGUCCGGAUUUAUUGGGCGUAAAGAGCGUGUAGGCGGCCAGGUAGGUCAGCUGUGAAAACUCGAGGCUCAACCUUGAGAUGUCGGCGGAAACCAUUUGGCUAGAGUCCGGAAGAGGAAAGUGGAAUUCCUGGUGUAGCGGUGAAAUGCGCAGAUAUCAGGAGGAACACCAAUUGCGAAGGCAGCUCGCUGGGACGUUACUGACGCUGGAGAACGCGAAAAGCGUGGGGGAGCAAACAGG
rnacentral:rRNA from 1 species